rnacentral:rRNA from 1 species
AUUGAACGCUCGCUGCAGGCUUAACACAUGCAAGUCGAGCGGUAGCACAAGAGAGCUUGCUCUCUGGGUGACGAGCGGCGGACGGGUGAGUAAUGUCUGGGAAACUGCCUGAUGGAGGGGGAUAACUACUGGAAACGGUAGCUAAUACCGCAUAACGUCGCAAGACCAAAGAGGGGGACCUUCGGGCCUCUUGCCAUCAGAUGUGCCCAGAUGGGAUUAGCUAGUAGGUGGGGUAAUGGCUCACCUAGGCGACGAUCCCUAGCUGGUCUGAGAGGAUGACCAGCCACACUGGAACUGAGACACGGUCCAGACUCCUACGGGAGGCAGCAGUGGGGAAUAUUGCACAAUGGGCGCAAGCCUGAUGCAGCCAUGCCGCGUGUGUGAAGAAGGCCUUCGGGUUGUAAAGCACUUUCAGCGAGGAGGAAGGUGGUGAACUUAAUACGUUCAUCAAUUGACGUUACUCGCAGAAGAAGCACCGGCUAACUCCGUGCCAGCAGCCGCGUUAAUACGGAUGGUGCAAGCGUUUAUCCGAAUUACUGGGGCGUAGCGCACGCAGGCGGUUUGUUAAGUCAGAUGUGAAAUCCCCGGGCUCCCUUGGGAACUGCAUUUGAAACUGGCAAGCUAGAGUCUCGUAGAGGGGGGUAGAAUUCCAGGUGUAGCGGUGAAAUGCGUAGAGAUCUGGAGGAAUACCGGUGGCGAAGGCGGCCCCCUGGACGAAGACUGACGCUCAGGUGCGAAAGCGUGGGGAGCAAACAGGAUUAGAUACCCUGGUAGUCCACGCUGUAAACGAUGUCGAUUUGGAGGUUGUGCCCUUGAGGCGUGGCUUCCGGAGCUAACGCGUUAAAUCGACCGCCUGGGGAGUACGGCCGCAAGGUUAAAACUCAAAUGAAUUGACGGGGGCCCGCACAAGCGGUGGAGCAUGUGGUUUAAUUCGAUGCAACGCGAAGAACCUUACCUACUCUUGACAUCCAGAGAACUUUCCAGAGAUGGAUUGGUGCCUUCGGGAACUCUGAGACAGGUGCUGCAUGGCUGUCGUCAGCUCGUGUUGUGAAAUGUUGGGUUAAGUCCCGCAACGAGCGCAACCCUUAUCCUUUGUUGCCAGCGGUUCGGCCGGGAACUCAAAGGAGACUGCCAGUGAUAAACUGGAGGAAGGUGGGGAUGACGUCAAGUCAUCAUGGCCCUUACGAGUAGGGCUACACACGUGCUACAAUGGCAUAUACAAAGAGAAGCGACCUCGCGAGAGCAAGCGGACCUCAUAAAGUAUGUCGUAGUCCGGAUUGGAGUCUGCAACUCGACUCCAUGAAGUCGGAAUCGCUAGUAAUCGUAGAUCAGAAUGCUUCGGUGAAUNCGUUCCCGGGCCU